rnacentral:tRNA from 1 species
AGCCCCUUCGUCUAGCGGUCAAGGAUGCGGCCCUCUGGAGGCUGCGACGACAGUUCGAAUCUGUCAGGGGCUA